UACGGGGGGGGCAAGCGUUGUUCGGAAUUACUGGGCGUAAAGGGCUCGUAGGUGGCCAACUAAGUCAGACGUGAAAUCCCUCGGCUUAACCGGGGAACUGCGUCUGAUACUGGAUGGCUUGAGAUUGGGAGAGGGAUGCGGAAUUCCAGGUGUAGCGGUGAAAUGCGUAGAUAUCUGGAGGAACACCGGUGGCGAAGGCGGCAUCCUGGACCGGCAUUGACGCUGAGGAGCGAAAGCCAGGGGAGCAAACGGG
rnacentral:rRNA from 1 species